GAGGAAGGCUGGCGGCGUGCUUAACACAUGCAAGUCGAACGGAAAGGCCCUGCUUUUGUGGGGUGCUCGAGUGGCGAACGGGUGAGUAACACGUGAGUAACCUGCCCUUGACUUUGGGAUAACUUCAGGAAACUGGGGCUAAUACCGGAUAGGAGCUCCUGCUGCAUGGUGGGGGUUGGAAAGUUUCGGCGGUUGGGGAUGGACUCGCGGCUUAUCAGCUUGUUGGUGGGGUAGUGGCUUACCAAGGCUUUGACGGGUAGCCGGCCUGAGAGGGUGACCGGCCACAUUGGGACUGAGAUACGGCCCAGACUCCUACGGGAGGCAGCAGUGGGGAAUAUUGCACAAUGGGCGGAAGCCUGAUGCAGCAACGCCGCGUGCGGGAUGACGGCCUUCGGGUUGUAAACCGCUUUCGCCUGUGACGAAGCGUGAGUGACGGUAAUGGGUAAAGAAGCACCGGCUAACUACGU
rnacentral:rRNA from 1 species